GUGAAUCAUUUUCCCUCAAUAUGUAUAUAAAGGUAAUUCUAGAAUAGCGAGAGCUUUGAACUCUAUACAAUUGUUAACUAAUGUAUAUAAAAGAAUCAAAUACAUAUAGGAAUAAAAAGAAGAGAGUGAAAACUGAGAAAGGUUAAACGAAGAAUCAAUGCGAUUUUGCUUUAAAUAAUACAAAAUGAACCUUGUAAAAGUAAGGGAUCAACAACUAAAACAUGACAGUGAUCAGAUCUGAACUAUUUUUCUAUCCUUGUGGGCUUCUCGUCUGGGGCACAUCUCCUGUAAAACUUAUGUCCUGCAAAACAAAAUAAAUAUUAUUAUAUACAAACUUACGUCCUUGCAAGAGUAUCAAAUAAAUCUAGGCUUUCUAUUUUCUUGGACUAUACAUGUGCUGAGUCAACAUAAAGAAAGAUAUAAUAGGUGUUAGAUGCAAAUAAUCUCCCGAAAUAUGAUACUGUCUUUAUUAUUUGGGCAGCAUCUCAUCAAAGAUGGGUCCAAACACCAAAUAGUUUCGUUGUCAAAGGGUAGAUAUAUUGUCACGGUGCUAAAAACCAAUAAAAGAUGUGUCUAUAUACAUCAACUCAAACACGUAAAAUCGACACAUCAAUUAUGCUUGUUCAUGUAUAAAGAUUAGGUAUAGAAGAAAAGUUUAACGGAAUUGUCAAAAUUAAUGUCUGUGAAGACUAAAAAGCAUAUGAUAUAAAUGGAAAACGUGCAUGCACAACUGUAACAAACACUAGUUAAUAUUACAAUAAUAGUAGCAACAAUAAUAACAAUAAUGAACCGCACUUUUUCUAGGAUAAGAUUAGGAAGACUGGUCGGCGUGAUAGGUUAACGGUACUUCAUGAUUUCCUUCUGUACU
rnacentral:lncRNA from 1 species